rnacentral:rRNA from 1 species
UACGUAGGGGGCAAGCGUUGUCCGGAUUUAUUGGGCGUAAAGAGCGUGUAGGCGGCUAGGUAGGUCUGCUGUGAAAACUCGAGGCUUAACCUCGAGCUGUCGGUGGAAACCAUCUGGCUAGAGUCCGGAAGAGGAGAAUGGAAUUCCCGGUGUAGCGGUGAAAUGCGCAGAUAUCGGGAAGAACACCCGUGGCGAAGGCGGUUCUCUGGGACGGGACUGACGCUGAGACGCGAAAGCGUGGGGAGCGAACAGG